rnacentral:rRNA from 1 species
GAUGAACGCUGGCGGCGUGCCUAAUACAUGCAAGUCGAGCGAACAGACGAGAGUGCUUGCACUCUCUGACGUUAGCGGCGGACGGGUGAGUAACACGUGGGUAACCUACCUAUAAGACUGGGAUAACUUCGGGAAACCGGAGCUAAUACCGGAUAAUAUUUAGCUUCGCAUGAAGCAAUAGUGAAAGACGGUUCUGCUGUCACUUAUAGAUGGACCCGCGGUGUAUUAGCUAGUUGGUGAGGUAACGGCUCACCAAGGCAACGAUACAUAGCCGACCUGAGGGGGGGAUCGGCCAAACGGGGACUGAGACACGGCCCAGACCCCUACGGGGGGGCGGAGGAGGGAAUCUUCCGAAAGGGACGAAAGUCUGAGGGGGAAAUGCCGGGUGGGUAAAGAAGGUUUUCGGAUCGUAAAACUUUUUUGUAAGGAAAAAAAAAGUCCGUUAGUAACUGAACGUACCUUGACGGUACCUUACAAAAAAGCCACGGCUAACUACGU